CGCCUCUUUGACUGGGUAUUAGUUGAAAGGAAUGCAGCUGAGACUGUAACCAAAGGAGGCAUUAUGCUUCCAGAAAAAUCUCAAAAGUAUUGCAAGCAACUGUAGAAGCUGUUGUAUUGGGCUCUAAAGGAAAGGGUGGAGAGAUUCAACCAGUUAGCCCAAAAGCUGGAGAUAAAAUUCUUCCCCCAGAAUCUAGAAUAUGGAGGCACCAAAGUAGUUCUGGACGACAGGGAUAAUUUCUUAUUUAGAAAUGGUGGCAUUCUUGGAAAGUAUAUAUACC
rnacentral:lncRNA from 1 species